AUGUCUCCAGACAACAACACACCGCAAAAUUUCCCCACCAGCCUGCAGAUGCAAAUCAGCAAGGCCCCGUUCGAGCCGCAUCCCGAGCUGCUUAUGGCCGCCAGGCACGGCGAGUGGCGGCAGCUAGAGCGUCUCCUUGGCCACAUCAAGCAGGGAUCAGCUCUCGCCGGUGACAUCGAGAUGUCAUCUGCGGUAGCCCCAGCCCAAGUGGUCACCGUCGCGCGGGACUCGCUCCUCCACGUGGUUGCCUCGAGGGGAGACGGUGAUGAGUUCCUCAAGAGCGCCUCUGUGAUCUACGGCAAGGCCAGGCACUUGCUCGACGCCCGGAACAAGAAGGGCGACACGCCCCUGCACUGCGCCGCCCGGGCUGGGUGGGCAGGGAUGGUCACCCAUCUCGUAUCUCUUGCAAGAGGAGCCGAGUAUGGCGGCAGCGAUGACAAGGUGAAGGCGUUGCUCAGAAUGCAGAACGGGCGAGGAGAGACGGUGCUGCACGAGGCGGUUCGGUUAGGCCACAGGGGCAUGAUCCGCCGGCUCAUGGCAGUGGAACCACAGCUGGCCCGUGUGCCACCGGCCGAUGGCGCGUCGCCGCUCUACUUGGCCGUCCAGAUGGGUCGCGACGACGUCGCCCGGCAGCUCCAUGAGAACGACCAGGAGCUGUCCUACUCUGGACCUGACGGCCAGAAUGCCUUACAUGCGGCUGUUCUCAAGGGCACAGAAACAACAAAAAUGUUGCUGGAAUGGAACAAGGACCUCAUCAAAGAAGCAGACCGAUCCAGUGGAAGCACGCCUCUUCACUUCGCCGCGUCAUUUGGGAAACACGAAGUGAUGAGCUUUCUGCUGGAUGCUGACCCAUCCGCGGCGUAUCAGCCAGACAGCAACGGAUCGUUUCCCAUACAUUUGGCCGCAUUCGCUGGCAGAGUGAAGGCGGUCUCCGUAUUGCUCGACGGUCGCCGUGACUGCGCCGAGCUGUGCGAUGCCAAGGGCAGGACCUUCCUCCAUGUCGCCGUCCUAGAGGAGAGCCUGUCUGUGAUCGCGUACGCUUGCAAGUUGCGGAGCCAGCAAUUUGAAGCAUCUGUCAUGAACAUGCAGGACGACGACGGCAACACCGCACUGCACUUAGCUGUUGAACUCGGGAACGUAUGGAUGUUCAAUGCUCUGAUGAAAAAUCGAUUGGUUGAGCUGAAUAUAAGAAACUACAAGGGGCAAACGCCCCUUGAUCGUUCCUGGAGCAGCGUUCCCGCAGGCGUUCAUUACGGAUGGAACGCAAGAAUCAUAAUACAUAACUUGCUACAAGAUGCCGGCGCUCAGAAUGGUACUUUCAGAUGUGACCUCUUCUACAAUGAACACGUUCCUAGGCUAGACCAAACUGAAGAGCUGCAGAAGAUCAACACGUCCACGCAGACCAUUGGCGUUGGCUCGGUACUGAUCGCGACGGUUGCGUUUACUGCAGCCUUUACGCUUCCCGGCGGCUAUCGGGCCGACGACAAUGAGAACGGUGGCUCACCGAUGCUCGCUGGGCAUUCCGCCUUCCACGUGUUCAUCAUCGCCACCACGCUGGCGUUCAUACUGUCGAGCCUAUCCAUCACCAUGCUCGUAUACGCGGGGAUUUACAACAUUGACAUACGCAGCCGCAUGAUCUGCGUCGUCAUCGCGGCGGCACUCAUGGGUGGCUCGGCUCGGAGCCUCAGCGCUGCAUUCGCGUACGGGCUGUACGUGGUGCUGGUCCCCGUUGCACGCAAGACGGCCGUGGCGUCUUUUGCGAUCACGGCUCUCGCUUUUCUGGAUGCCGUCUGGUUCACCUCCGUUGUUUUCAGCGGUGAGCGGAUGCUGCUGAAAAGGCUCGGGGUUCGGGUAUGGUGGAGGCUGCCAUUGGCGAUCCUAAGAAUGUUGCUGGGUCAGUUCUGGCCGUUCAUUGUGAUCGCCGGCGUGGUCAAGUGUCUCAAGAUCAAGAGUGUUCAUUGA
rnacentral:rRNA from 1 species